rnacentral:rRNA from 1 species
AGUGAACGCUGGCGGCGUGCCUAAUACAUGCAAGUCGAACGGAGUGGCGCACGGGUGAGUAAUAUAUAGCUAAUCUGCCCCUUGAUGGAGGACAACAGUUAGAAAUGACUGCUAAUACUCCAUAGCAAGGGAGGAGACUAUAUCGUAUCAGCUAGUCGGUGGGGUAACGGCCUACCGAGGCUAUGACGCGGAACUGGUCUGAGAGGAUGAUCAGUCACAUGCGAACUGAGACACGGGCCAAACUCCGACGGGAGGCAGCAGGGUGGAAUAUUGCGCCAUGGGGGAAACCCUGACGCAGCAACGCCGCGUGGAGGAUGAAACUUUUCGGAGCGUACACUCCUUUUGUUAGGGAAGCGUUACCUAACUAAUAAGCACCGGCUAACUCCGUGCCAGCCGCCGCGGUAAUAC